AGAAAACGAUGGUAACAUGGCUCGAGAAAAGCGGUGGAAAAAAUAUGAAAUUAUUAACGUGCAAAUCAAUCUUUACAGAACGGAUCUUACGUACACCAUAACAAAAAAAUUAAAAACAAGAAAACAAAGACGAUAGUAGGUUGUUUUUUUGGCCUUGUUCGCAGAACAAAGUUGACCUUUCUUGGCAAGCAAGUCAACAUUGCUCUCACUUUGAAUCUAGUUAGGCCACUCUUCACACAAAUUGUAAACUUAUUAAUGUAACAAAUUAAACAUGAUCACACGAAUUGAAUUGAAGGGGAAUUUGAGGCUGCUUAAACCCUAGCUAAUUAAGCGUACGUUACGUACAUUGAUUGAUUAGUCUCCGUAGCUUGCAUGGCCGGCGCCGGUGGCUGCGCCACCGGUGGCGAGGUGGUGAGAGGAUUCUCCGACUGUGUGGUGGCCGUAUCCGGCGGCGGCGGCGGCGGGGAUCAUGACGGGCUUCUUCUUUUUCUUGGCUAAGCAGAAGAGGCCGAGCGCGAGGAAUGCGAGGAAGAAUACGCCGCCUAGGGUGGCGCAGACGACAAUGACGGUGGUGUGGUUGCUGCCGCCGCCGGAGGGCGGAGGAGUUGAGAUGUCUACGCCGGGUGGGAGUGUUGGUGGAAAUGGAGUGGGGCCACCUGGUGUGGGCCCGCCUGGCGUGAGGCCACCUGGUGGAUAGACAGGUGGAUAUGCUGAGGGUGGCAUAAUUGGCCAAUUAGGAGGCGCGCCCGUCUCCGGAGGAUACGAGUAUCCACCGGGAGGCGAUGCGCCCGGUGGCUUACUUGAGCCACCGGGAGGCGAUGCGCUCGGUGGCUUAUGAGGCGUGUAUGGAGUCCCGGGAGGUGAUGCACCGGGAGGCGAUGCAGUAGGUGGCUUAUGAGGCGUGUAUGGAGUCCCGGGAGGCGAUGCAGUUGGUGGCUUAUGAGGCGUGUAUGGAGGUGAUGCACCGGGAGGCGAUGCUGUAGGCGGCGAGGCCUUCGGUGGAUGAGGAUAUUCGACAGGCGGUGGAGGAGGAGGUGGCGGCUGAUAGUGAUGAUGUUUUUUAGGAGGCGGAGGUGGUGGAGAAGAGUAAUGAUAAUGUGGAGUUGGCGAUGGUGGAGGAGGGCACGGUGGAGGCGGUGGCGGCGAGCUAAACACAAGCGGCGGUGGUGGCGGAGGCGACGAGUAAAGAUACUGAGGCACCACCGGUGGCGGAGGCGGUGGCGAAGAGUAUGGAUAAGCUAUGAGCUUCCUAUUAUAACUCGAUGCGCUACCAUAACUC
rnacentral:lncRNA from 1 species